GUGCCAGCCGCCGCGGUAAUACCGGCAGCCCGAGUGAUGGCCGAACUUAUUGGGCCUAAAGCGUCCGUAGCUGGCCGCACGAGUCCGUCGGGAAAUCCACCCGCCCAACGGGUGGGCGUCCGGUAGAAACUGGCCGGCUUGGAACCGGAAGGCUCAGAGGGUACGUCCGGGGUAGGAGUGAAAUCCCGUAAUCCCGGACGGACUACCGAUGGCGAAAGCACUCUGAGAAGACGGCUUCGACAGUGAGGGACGAAAGCUCGGGUCUCAAACCGGAUGAGAUACCCUAGUAGUCC
rnacentral:rRNA from 1 species